rnacentral:lncRNA from 1 species
CAGGAAUUUGCAGUUCCUGACUAUCGCUCUUCUCACAUCGAAGUUAGUCAGGCAUCGCAGCUCUUACAGCAGCAGCAGCAGCAGCAGCAGCUUCGAAGGCGACCUUCCUUGCUUUCAGAAUUUCACCCAGGUUCUGACAGGCCUCAAGAGAGAAGAACUGGAUAUGAACAGUUUCACUCAGGACCCUCACCAGUGGAUCAUGAUUCCUUGGAGUCCAAGCGUCCACGCCUGGAGCCAGUUUCUGAUGCCCAUUUCCAGCGUGUUAGUGCUGCGGUUUUACCUUUAGUUCACACGCUGCCAGAGGGGUUGAGGGCGUCUGCAGAUGCUAAGAAGGAUUCGGCAUUUGGAGGCAAACAUGAAGCUCCAUCCUCUCCAUUGGCUGGGCAACCAUGUGGAGAUGAUCAAAACGCUUCACCUUCAAAGCUCUCAAAGGAAGAGUUAAUACAGAGUAUGGACCGGGUAGACAGAGAGAUUGCAAAAGUAGAGCAGCAGAUCCUUAAAUUGAAAAAGAAACAACAACAGCUAGAAGAAGAAGCAGCUAAGCCUCCUGAGCCGGAGAAGCCUGUGUCCCCUCCUCCUGUGGAACAGAAACACCGUAGUAUUGUCCAAAUUAUUUAUGAUGAGAAUCGGAAAAAAGCUGAAGAAGCUCAUAAAAUAUUUGAAGGUCUUGGCCCAAAAGUUGAAUUGCCACUCUAUAACCAGCCGUCAGAUACCAAGGUGUACCAUGAGAACAUCAAGACAAACCAGGUGAUGAGGAAAAAACUCAUUUUAUUUUUUAAAAGAAGAAAUCAUGCAAGAAAACAAAGGGAACAAAAAAUCUGCCAGCGUUAUGAUCAACUCAUGGAGGCAUGGGAGAAAAAAGUGGACAGAAUAGAAAAUAAUCCUCGGAGGAAAGCAAAAGAAAGCAAAACAAGGGAAUACUAUGAGAAGCAGUUUCCAGAAAUUCGAAAACAAAGAGAACAACAAGAAAGAUUUCAGCGAGUUGGUCAGAGGGGAGCUGGUCUUUCAGCCACCAUUGCUAGGAGUGAGCAUGAGAUUUCCGAAAUUAUUGAUGGCCUUUCUGAGCAGGAGAAUAAUGAGAAACAAAUGCGGCAGCUUUCUGUGAUUCCCCCGAUGAUGUUUGAUGCAGAACAAAGAAGGGUCAAGUUCAUCAAUAUGAAUGGGCUCAUGGAGGAUCCAAUGAAGGUUUA